rnacentral:misc_RNA from 1 species
UAAUAAGUGUUUUAGUGCACUUUUUAAAUCCAUAUCCACCUUGUGUGCAAUGUCAGUCGAUCUUCUUCAUUGGAGAUUCGACCAAACAUUCAACCUUUAUCUUUUAACUACUUUGUCUGAAAAAUAUUAUGAAUAAACAAUUCAAAAUA